AUUGAACGCUGGCGGCAGGCCUAACACAUGCAAGUCGAGCGGAGCGGCGGACGGGUGAGUAAUGCCUAGAAAGCUGCCUGGUAGUGGGGGAUAACGUUCGGAAACGGGCGCUAAUCCCGCAUACUAUCACAUGCGCCUAGGUCGGAUUAGCUAGUUGGUGGGGGAAGGGCCUACCCAGGCGACGAUCCGUAACUGGUCUGCGAGGAUGAUCAGUCACACGGGAACUGAGCCACGGUCCAGACGCCUACGGGAGGCAGCAGUGGGGAAUAUUGGACAAUGGGCGGAAGCCUGAUGCAGCCAUGCCGCGUGUGUGAAGAAGGUCUUCGGGUUGUAAAGCACUUUAAGUUGGGAGGCGUUACCAACAGAAUAAGCACCGGCUAACUUCGUGCCAGCAGCCGCGGUAAUAC
rnacentral:rRNA from 1 species